rnacentral:lncRNA from 1 species
UGGCUUCCAGGCUUAGCCUCUCCUACUUAUCUUGAUGGCAGGUACAUACAUUCAAGAUCAUAUUUUUUUGUUGCCUUUAUAAUUGGGUUAUCCAGUUGUUUUCUAAAAACUUAAAUAAUUAUGCGUGUAGUCUUGAUUCUUUUUCAUGAGCCAAGUAUGUUGUUUUUUUAAAUAAAAAAAAUAUUCGGUGGCGGUAAGACUUAAUCACAGGACUAGGUCUGCUCGAUAUCAUAUUGAAUUGUGUGACUACCUCAUCCGAAAACUUAAGCUAUUACAAAGAGCAUACUUUUACUAAUGGUUUUUAGCCUUGUUCUAAUACUCGAAUGCUUGCUUGUCUUAGUCUCCCAGGAGACAAUGGUUUUGAUCCAUUGGGACUUGCUGAGGACCCAGAGAACUUGAAAUGGUUCGUCCAGGCUGAACUGGUGAACGGUCGUUGGGCUAUGUUGGGUGUUGCUGGGAUGCUGCUGCCUGAGGUUUUCACUAACAUUGGAAUCCUUAACGUGCCCAAAUGGUAUGAUGCUGGAAAAGAAGAGUACUUUGCAUCUUCAUCCACCCUGUUCGUGAUCGAGUUCAUCUUGUUCCACUACGUCGAGAUCAGAAGGUGGCAAGACAUCAAGAACCCAGGAAGUGUUAACCAAGACCCCAUCUUCAAGAACUACAGCUUGCCUCCUAACGAAGUUGGAUACCCUGGUGGUAUUUUCAACCCACUCAACUUUGCACCAACUGCUGAGGCCAAAGAAAAGGAAAUUGCUAAUGGUAAGUCCAACUACCACAACCCUGUUAUAUUUCAUGUACGAUCACUAAACUUGAUCCACUGUAACAAUAAAAUACCAUAACUAAUUUUUUCACAUGAAGUAACUGAACUUUAUCUACUAUAAUAGUAACAUCACUAACUUUCACAUGGAUAAUAUGCAGGGAGAUUGGCAAUGUUGGCAUUUUUGGGAUUCAUAGUGCAGCACAAUGUAGUAGGAAAGGGACCUUUUGACAACCUUCUGCAACACCUCUCCGACCCAUGGCACAACACCAUUGUCCAAACACUCGGCAACUAGAAAACCUCAUGGAAACUGGAUUGAAUAUAUUGUUACCCUUGUAACCAUGUUAUGGUUUUUGAUCAAGAAUAGAGCUUUGUGGUAAACAAGGAACCUUUAAUGUACAGGGCAUUUUAAAUUGCAAGUCUUAUUCGUGUUAUUUCCACCCUAUCGUCAGUAUAUAAAGUGGAAGAAAAGCCCCCUUUAGCUAAUUCGAGACGCUUAUCUAGACUUGGAUUUGGUAAAGGGAAAGCUUUCUUUUAGUAGUUCAACUUAUGCAUCUCAAUUGCAAAAGAAAUCCCAGAAAUUUAUUGAAGCAAAGUGAAAUUG